AGCAGCCGCGGUAAUUCCAGCUCCAAUAGCGUAUAUUAAAGUUGUUGCAGUUAAAAAGGCUCGUAGUUGAAUUUCGGGAUCAGAUUGUCGGUCGUGCCUCGGUACGUACUGGCAUUAUUGGUUCCUACCUUCUGAAGAACCGCGAUGUCAUUAAUUUGGUGUCGUGGGGAAUCAGGACUGUUACUUUGAAAAAAUUAGAGUGUUUAAAGCAGGCGCACGCUUGAAUACAUUAGCAUGGAAUAAUGAAAUAGGACGUUUGAUUCUAUUUUGUUGGUUUCUAGGAUUGACGUAAUGAUUAAUAGGGAUAGUUGGGGGCAUUAGUAUUCAAUUGUCAGAGGUGAAAUUCUUGGAUUUAUUGAAGACUAACUACUGCGAAAGCAUUUGCCAAGGAUGUUUUCAUUAAUCAAGAACGAAAGUUAGGGGAUCGAAGACGAUCAGAUACCGUCGUAGUCUUAACCAUAAACUAUGCCGACUAGGGAUCGGAUGAUGUUAAUUUUUAAUGACUCAUUCGGCGCCUUAA
rnacentral:rRNA from 1 species